UUCCUCCUCCAAAACCUUGCACUGGCUACAAAUAAUGAGACGUUUCAUUGGUAACGUCUGAACAACAUCAUCACAUGUAUUUUGCUCUUUCUUCAAGGAGCCCUGUCAACAUGUUCAUUGUGAAUUGAUCCCAAUUAGUUUGCACUGCAGGGAGAGUAGAUGAUGUUGGCUACUUAACAAGCGUUCAUCCUGAUUUGUUUGUAGGAGAGAUUAGAUGAUGUUUGUAUUAAAGCAAGUGUUAUUCCACACUUUCAAGUGCCUUUUCCCCAUCACUUUUCUUACUGCAAAAUGUCCAAUCUUUUUGGCAAGAGGGUGUGUUGUGCAAUACCCCUCAAUUCAGGGGUGUACUUACCUAAGGGUAGGUCAGGUUGGCCCUCGCCAAAGUGACAGGUCCAGUGUUUGCAAAAUUGGGACUCUCCACUCUGGCCUGAAGUGGCUAUGAGCCCACCUGCCUAUCCACAGACUCCUUGGGCUCCUCCUCCACUGCUCUGGGCAGCCAGGUGAGGCACACUGCCUUCUCUGUGUGACUUGGCAGAGGAAUCCUGUCAUUGGCAUGGGCUGUCACAAGGGAUUGGGGAGGGGACAGACACACCAAUACAUCUCCUUGACAAGGGCGCAAGGGAGCCUAUGUACAUCUCUGCCCCAAUCAACUGUAAUGACAAAACCUUAAUUUUCCAGUAUGUAACAGAAUAGUGAUGAUCAGAAGUGCCCUUGUUUUAUUAAUUUAUCAUGUUUGGAGUGGGUCACUCCCACUCUGAUUGGAUCUUUUAUACUUGUUUUCAUUUUUGCCCUAAGAAGUACUGUGAUCCACCUCUUUUUUGCUUUGCCGGAACUUCUCCCACUUCUGUCUGCAUCCAUGUAUCUGCCAAGAGAGGAUAGCACUUCAUCUGAUUAAAUGCCACAGGACUCAUGUUUGGUUUUACUUCAAGGGUGCCUGCAAACUGUCACUGUGUUGUAGGAUGGAUUCAAGCACAAUUUGGGUUUGCACACCUAAAGCGGAUUAAGUUGCCCUGUUGUCCUAGUGCAAUAAAUCUACUUAAAGACAAACAAGCCUUUUGUGGAUAGGAAAGUGUGGAAUGAUCAGGAUGAAUGCUCAAUAAACAGGUUGUCUGGAGGAGCCCCAGUAGACUAAAAUAGCUGCUACCUGGAAGUGGUUCACAGUUCAACAGUAUUCUCAAAUAUGCAAUGGGGCAGCUUAUUUGUGUUUCACCACUGCCCCCUGCUGGACAUAACCAGAGCACUUUCUUUCACAGAAAUAGCAAGCAAGUUUGAGCCGAACUAGGUGUUGCCUUAUAAACACAGGCUGCAAAGCCUAAACAGGCUUUAAGGAAGAAGAGGCAGAAAAGCAGUUUUUAGGAGGCAGAGUUAAGAAGCGGAGAAAGUAGCACAGCUUCCAUCUCCUGCACUAUAUCUUAGUGCAGCUGAGACAUGUGAGAAUUUGUAAGUGGUAUAGAUUGCAAGCUAAAUCCCCCACCCCAGACCUCUGUGUUCUCUCCUGAAGGCUUCUAGGAGGCUGCAGAUAGCUGCCUGAGCAGGCCAGUGUCUCCCUCCCUCCCUGUGUCACACUCACACAAACAAACACUGCAGGGCAGGCAUGGGGAACCUUCUGCAGCCUGUGGUCUUCAUUCCCUUCCGCACAAGCUUCCAGGGGCCACAUGCCUGGUGUGAGGGAGACAGAGACACUUUCAGUAGCACUAUUACGGACCAGGUUGUGUUUGCUUAGGGGAAGCACUUUCAAAAGGUGGUGGUGGAGGAGGAGUUUGGUUUUGAUAUCCCGCCUUUCACUCCCCUUAAGGAGUCUCAAAGCGGCUAACAUUCUCCUUUCUCUUCGUCCCCCACAACAAACACUCUGUGAGGUGAGUGGGGCUGAGAGACUUCAGAGAAGUGUGACUAGCCCAAGGUCACCCAGCAGCUGCAUGUGGAGGAGUGGGGACGCGAACCCGGUUCACCAGAUUACGAGUCCACCACUCCUAACCAUACACCACACUGGUGAAAGCAGGUGUGUGCUUCUAAGGCCAUAAUAAGGGCUGGACAUUGUCAGGUGCCUGCCAAAGUCUACACCCCUGCAGAGGGGACUCAUUGUUGAUUCCUAGAGUCUCCUCCUUUUUGCUGUCACUGCCUGUUUGUCUACCAUCUCUAAGUAUGCAGGAAGUGCCUGGAGGGAAAAGAUGGGUCAUCCUCCUCCACUCAACUUGUGCUUUCCCUCUGGGUGAUGAGCUGUAGACCCAUAGAGAGAGAAUGAACAAAUGACCAUUGGCAAUGUGAGUGAGAGAGAGGAGAAUUGAGAAAGGUGGUGUAUUGUGAGCAUCCACCCCCACCCCCCAAAAUCUGAGGUUGGUACUAGGUUCCUGUCAUGUUUCCAGCUAGGUAAGAGGUUCCUUUAGACCAGGAGUGGGCAACCUGUGGCCUUUCAGUUGUUGCUGAACCUCAAGUCUUAUUGGCCCCAGCCAGCAUGGCCAAUAGCCAGGGAUGGUGGGAGAAGUUCUAUUCCUACAACAUCUGGAGGGCUGUAGGUUCCCUACCCCUGCUCUAGGCUUCUGGGUGUACAUAGCUCCCCCUGGAUGAAUGAAAUAGCUUGCAUUUCUAUUGUGCAUUUCUCCUGGGAUUUUCAAAGAGGGUUUACAUUUCCCCUACCAUAUAUAAGCAAAGCCUCGAGGCUGGAACAGGAUCCCAUCAAGUUGCCUCUUGUGCAGGGCACGAUGUGUUCUUUUCUGCCCCUGUGCUUCAUUUUCGGUGGAACUUUUCCUUAGGAGCACCCGUAUGUCUUGUGUCUUCUUCUCAUUUUUUAUAAUCAAGAACCCCCAAAAAGGAACCAGAACAAGUGCUAUUCCUUUUCCCCCUCUUUUUGCAUUUUACCAUGAAUAUAUUUAAGAGUAGGUCUUUGAACAUUAUCACACACACAAACACAGAAACCUGAAAUGAUGUCCAUUAACCUGAGAAUGGGACAAAAGGGGAUGAAAUCAUGAAAGCAAAGGGAGGGGCAGAAGCAGUCUGUUUUCCAGGACAAUUGCUAUUUUCUUGACUUUAGCUACCAUCUCAGUUUUUCCGGCAGGUUUUCUGGUGUCCGUCAUAUCCUUCUUGUACACUGCUUAGAAAUUAUGCAAUUAAAUGGUAUAUAACUUAUUGAAAUAAAGAAUCUCUGUAUGCCAUUUGAAGUGCAUUUCCAUGCUGAACAGGAGCCAUCAAUAUGACUUUUAGGGUUCAGAGGUCAAAAUGCCAAUAACACAUGAGGUUCAUGUCACUAUUUGAGCCUCUGGUGGAUUUCUCUUCCACAUGGAAACAGAGGAAAGGCAUUUGUAAAUGCAAAUGAACAUUCUGGCCAAUGUAGCUUUAACUUUUUAAAGCACAAGCCUCUUUAAGUUUCAUGUGUGCCCUGUUGAUAAUGGUAACCAUUUAGUGUCUCUCUUGGGUAGUUUGGGUACGAGAUUGUGUGAGACGACACAGCUGUACUGAUAAAUUUAUUUAUUAAAUUUGUAUACCGCUCUGAGAUCUGCAGGUAUAGGGUGGUAUACAAAUGUAAUAAAUAAAAAUAUGUGUUUGGCCACAGCUCCCACCCGCAAACUCUACAGUGUGUUCAAAGCAACAGAUCCUGAUGUUAUACAUGUUAGUUCCCUAUUUUAACUGCUGGUUCUAAGUAUGUUUUAAGUAUUGUUUUUAACUAGUUUAUAUUACUUGUAUUAUAUAAUGAUGUUCUUAGAUGUUGGAAGUGACCUUGAAUCCCAACUUGGGAGAAAGGUGGGAUAUAAAUACAUUUAAUAAUGAUGAUGAUGAUAAUAAUGAUAUUGAUAGUUACUUAGAGUGGGCAAAGAAUGAAUUUCAUUGAAUAUUUCAUUUCCAUUAUAUUGCCUCACUAUUUUUUAAAAAUGAAACUUUAUACAUUGACAACUUUUACCACACUUGUAUUUUGGUGCUGCCUACAUGGAAGCAGCAACUCUUGUGUGUGUGUUCAGCAUUAAAGGAUUUGGUUUGGGGGCAAAGAGGAAGCCCAGCUGGGCUGAGAAUUAGGCUGGGGCUCAUAGAGGGGUGUUUGAUGCCUAGACUAGUUUGUGAGAUCAGAGACCUCAGGCUGAAAUUCUUGGAGCUUGGGGAACACCAUGCCACAUCUUUUCAAAUAUUUGUGUCCUCCUGCUUUAAUAUUAAUUCCUGUGGGUUAAGGAAGUAUCUGCAGAACUGCAUUUUGAAUAGGGAUGAGCCAAAACUUGGUUUUGUCAGCACUUCGGGUAAUAGC
rnacentral:lncRNA from 1 species